CNUGCAGUCGAGCGGAUGAAGGGAGCUUGCUCCUGGAUUCAGCGGCGGACGGGUGAGUAAUGCCUAGGAAUCUGCCUGGUAGUGGGGGAUAACGUCCGGAAACGGGCGCUAAUACCGCAUACGUCCUGAGGGAGAAAGUGGGGGAUCUUCGGACCUCACGCUAUCAGAUGAGCCUAGGUCGGAUUAGCUAGUUGGUGGGGUAAAGGCCUACCAAGGCGACGAUCCGUAACUGGUCUGAGAGGAUGAUCAGUCACACUGGAACUGAGACACGGUCCAGACUCCUACGGGAGGCAGCAGUGGGGAAUAUUGGACAAUGGGCGAAAGCCUGAUCCAGCCAUGCCGCGUGUGUGAAGAAGGUCUUCGGAUUGUAAAGCACUUUAAGUUGGGAGGAAGGGCAGUAAGUUAAUACCUUGCUGUUUUGACGUUACCAACAGAAUAAGCACCGGCUAACUUCGUGCCAGCAGCCGCGGUAAUACGAAGGGUGCAAGCGUUAAUCGGAAUUACUGGGCGUAAAGCGCGCGUAGGUGGUUCAGCAAGUUGGAUGUGAAAUCCCCGGGCUCAACCUGGGAACUGCAUCCAAAACUACUGAGCUAGAGUACGGUAGAGGGUGGUGGAAUUUCCUGUGUAGCGGUGAAAUGCGUAGAUAUAGGAAGGAACACCAGUGGCGAAGGCGACCACCUGGACUGAUACUGACACUGANGUGCNAAAGCGUG
rnacentral:rRNA from 1 species